rnacentral:pre_miRNA from 1 species
CUUUUGAGGGGAAUGUUGUCUGGCUCGAGGCCACUCUUGCUCGGAUUUAUGAUUCGAUUAGUGACGUCGGACCAGGCUUCAUUCCCCCCAAUUG